UACGUAGGGGGCAAGCGUUGUCCGGAUUUAUUGGGCGUAAAGAGCGUGUAGGCGGCCAGGGAGGUCCGUUGUGAAAACUCGAGGCUCAACCUCGAGACGCCGAUGGAAACCCCCUGGCUAGAGUCCGGAAGAGGAGAAUGGAAUUCCUGGUGUAGCGGUGAAAUGCGCAGAUAUCGGGAAGAACACCCGUGGCUAAGGCGGUUCUCUAGUACGGUACUGACGCUGAGACGCGAAAGCGUGGGGAGCGAACAGG
rnacentral:rRNA from 1 species